rnacentral:rRNA from 1 species
CGAGUCAAUCAAAUUUUGGAAGAUAUGCUCCGAGCUUCUGUCAUCUCGUUCGGAAUGAGUUGGGAGAAAUGCCUUCCAUUCGCGGAGUUUGCUUAUAACAAUAGUUAUCAAGCUAGCUUAGGCAAGGCUCCUUUCGGAGUUCUCUAUGGACGAAAAUGUCGAACGCCUCUUAACUGGUCAGAAACCGGGGAAAGACAACUCUUUGGCCCGGAUAUGAUUCAGGAAGCAGAGGAGCAGGUUCGCGUUAUUCGUGAGAAAUUGAAAACAGCCCAAUCUCGUCAAAAGAGUCAAUAUGAUCGUAAACAUAAGCUUAUGACUUAUGAAGUUGACGAGAAGGCUUACCUUCGGGUUACCCCGUUAAAGGGAACCCAUCGUUUC